GAAAUGCGAUAAGUAAUGUGAAUUGCAGAAUUCAGUGAAUCAUCGAAUCUUUGAAGGCACCUUGCGCUCCUUGGUAUUCCUUGGAGCAUGCCUGUUUGAGUAUCAUGAAAUCUUCAAAGUAAAUCUUUUGUUAACUCAAUUGGUUUCUACUUUGGUAUUGGAGGUCUUUGCAGCUUCACACCUGCUCCUCUUUGUUCAUUAGCUGGAUCUCAGUGUUAUGCUUGGUUCCACUCGGCUUGAUAAGUUAUCUAUCGCUGAGGACACUGUAAAAGGUGGCCAAGGUAAAUGCAGAUGAACCGCUUCUAAUAGUCCAUUGACUUGGACAAUACUUUUAUGAUCUGAUCUCAAAUCAGGUAGGACUACCCGCUGAACUUAAGC
rnacentral:misc_RNA from 1 species